UUACGACCAUAUCUCGUUGAAACACCGGUUCUCGUCUGAUCACCGAAGUUAAGCAAUAUCGAGCCUAGUCAGUCACCAAAUGGGUGACCGACUAAGAAUACGAAGUGCUGUAAG